rnacentral:rRNA from 1 species
UGGGGAAUAUUGCACAAUGGAGGGAACUCUGAUGCAGCGACGCCGCGUGAGUGAUGAAGGAAUUCGUUUCGUAAAACUCUGUUCUAUGGGAAGAAAAGGACUGUACCAUAGGAGAAAGCUCCGGCUAAAUACGUGCCAGCAGCCGCGGUAAUACGUAUGGAGCGAGCGUUGUCCGGAAUUAUUGGGCGUAAAGGGUGCGCAGGCGGCUUUACAAGUUGGAUGUGAAAUAUUGUGGCUCAACCACAAACGUGCAUCCAAAACUGCAAAGCCUGAGUUAAGGAGAGGUAAGUGGAAUUCCUGGUGUAGCGGUGGAAUGCGUAGAUAUCAGGAGGAAUACCGGUGGCGAAGGCGACUUACUGGACUUAAACUGACGCUCAGGCACGAAAGCGUGGGGAGCAAACAGG